AACACUAAAUGAGUCUAUAACUAAUUUUUCGAAGUGCUCGGCUUACGCUGAGCCACAAAUACAAUUCAAAAUUAUUUCAGAGUUGAUGACCUGACCAAUUUCUGUUUUUCUUACCUGUGAUUUGUCGCAGUGAAAGAGUCCGGGUCCUUGUAACACUUCGCAGUGGUUCGCCCUCUGCCAGUGUUAUUUCCGCGACUUAUCACCGUAUGAUAAAGUUACACUUUUUCUCACAGAAAAUUGCAUCCCAACAAAACUGUCGUUAGUACCCGAACUACAUUUCAGUCACUCAGUAAAGCGAUAAUUCAAAAUAUCAUUGUCUACAGAUCUGGAGAAAUUGCCAAUGCGUCUUUAGACUGUCUUUGUCAGACGAGAGGUAAAUGUCUGCAGUUGUGGCAUGUGUUGUAAUCUCCACACCACAGUAACACAAUAUGCUGUUAGAGAAACCAAAACAAAAUGGCUCAGACUAUUGAUGAAGUGGGAUAACAUGUGGUACUCUUUUCCCCAAAUUUGGAGGGAGCACAGUGCUGCUGCAACAAUCCAUGCUGAGGUUGGAAGUGCACAGCAACAAUGCACCAUCGUAUGACACUGAGGUUAGGUGACACACUCACUUCCACUGUGGUAAAACAAGUGUGAGUGACAAAGAAGGAAAGUGCCAGACCAUGUCUCUGUGAAGAAACAGGAAUUGCAGAAGUGGAGGCUCUGCAGCUUGAAGGCUGGCAUAUCACAAUUGAGGUAAAUGUCUGCAGUUGUGGCAUGUGUUGUAAUCUCCACACCACAGUAACACAAUAUGCUGUUAGAGAAACCAAAACAAAAUGGCUCAGACUAUUGAUGAAGUGGGAUAACAUGUGGUACUCUUUUCCCCAAAUUUGGAGGGAGCACAGUGCUGCUGCAACAAUCCAUGCUGAGGUUGGAAGUGCACAGCAACAAUGCACCAUCGUAUGACACUGAGGUUAGGUGACACACUCACUUCCACUGUGGUAAAACAAGUGUGAGUGACAAAGAAGGAAAGUGCCAGACCAUGUCUCUGUGAAGAAACAGGAAUUGCAGAAGUGGAGGCUCUGCAGCUUGAAGGCUGGCAUAUCACAAUUGAGUGUGAAAAAGCCUUUGACAUAUCCAAGAUGAUGUCAGCCACGUGGUCGCCUUUGCCCAGUGCUUGAAGAACAACUGCUUUCAUAAAGUGUGCUGCACCUCCUUUGGAUCUGAAACCAAAUCGUUCAUUGUAAAGAAGAUUUUUUUUUUCAGAUAAUUCAUUAGCCUGUUUUUCAUUAUUGUUUCUGUUAUUUUAGAAUUGAAGUCAGUACUGAAGUUGUCUUGUAGUUUUCUACAUUUUCUGCCACCACUUUUUUGAGAAUAAGUAGAGUUUUAGCUUAUUUGCUUUUGUGGUUUUAAUGCAUUCUGUAAGGGUAUGAACUGGAGUGGAAUCUAGACUUGCCAAAUUUUUAUUUUUAAUUGGCAUACCACAGUUGCACCCUGUCUCAGUUGUUGGCAGGAGCACAUUAUAUUUGCUGGCUGGUCCCUAAUGAGUAAAACUUAGGUAUCUGGAAAUUUCUGCUCUAAUUUCUUAGCAAUACUACUCAAGUGAAUAUUCACAUAGCUUGCUUGUUCCUUUGGAUGGCUUAUUUGAGCAACUUUGUUUCCAAACAAUGUAAUGAAAAGGAUAGUUGCUACUCAUCAUGGAGUGGAGAUGCUGAGUCACAGAUAGGCACAACAAAAAGACUGUCACAAAAUAAGCUUUCAGCGAACAAGGCCAUUGUCAAAAAUAGACA